rnacentral:lncRNA from 1 species
GUUCAAGUCGUUGAAUUACUUCUUGACACACUUCAGCUAGAUCCGAUUAUCGAAAUGAUUGAACAAAUUGUGAAAUUUAUUUAUUACUACUUCCGACCGGUAGCGGCAGUACCUAUCGUUGAUAAGUUGCUCACCAAACGCUUCACUCUUUUGCCCUUUUUCUUGGCGUUGCUCUUGAUGGCUCUCACUUGCACUGCUAUUAGGUUGGUCUUUGGCCAGUAUAUAAUCAAUAUGGGAAGACGACUCUGGACUGUGCAGCUGGAGCAGCAGGAGGACGAGUGGGAUACCAGGAGGACGAGGAAGUCGAAGAGGAGGAGGAAGGCGGUUCAGAGGAUGGAGCAGACUGAUGCCCUGCACGAACUUGCUCUUGCAUAAAAUCUUCAAAUUUAUUUGUUAUUUCAAAGUUAUUUGUUCUUUUGUUGAAUAUUCUUCGAAAUUUACAGGUCCCAUUUGUCAUAACUCCAUUUACGAGAAUCUUUUUGGACAAUCCAAUAUAAUUUUCAACCGCUUAAGUAAAUGCAUUAAAUAUAAUUUCAUCUCUUUGUAUUUUUGUUGCAUCAAUACACUCCCAAUAAAGUGAGCGUCAAGGUGCGAGUAAAUGAAUUUGUUGCUGAGCGGUUCCAGUGUGUAAUCCUAAGCCUAGCUGACAUUAAAUAUAUGACAAGGCAAUAAACAGCAUUCAUUAUUCGUGUC